GACGUAGGUGGCGAACGUUAUCCGGAAUCAUUGGGCGUAAAGAGCGUGUAGGCGGCUCGGUAAGUCCGCUGUGAAAGUCCAGGGCUCAACCCUGGAAUGCCGGUGGAAACUGUCGAGCUAGAGUCCGGAAGAGGCGAGUGGAAUUCCUGGUGUAGCGGUGAAAUGCGCAGAUAUCAGGAGGAACACCAAUGGCGAAGGCAGCUCGCUGGGACGGUACUGACGCUGAGACGCGAAAGCGUGGGGAGCAAACAGG
rnacentral:rRNA from 1 species